rnacentral:rRNA from 1 species
UCCUCCCUCUGGCUGCGUGCUUAACACAUGCAAGUCGAACGGAAAGGCCCUGCUUGCAGGGUACUCGAGUGGCGAACGGGUGAGUAACACGUGGGUGAUCUGCCCUGCACUUCGGGAUAAGCCUGGGAAACUGGGUCUAAUACCGGAUAUGACCUUCCAUGUAGUGUGGGGGGUGGAAAGAUUUAUCGGUGUGGGAUGAGCCCGCGGCCUAUCAGCUUGUUGGUGGGGUAAUGGCCUACCAAGGCGUCGACGGGUAGCCGGCCUGAGAGGGUGGACGGCCACAUUGGGACUGAGAUACGGCCCAGACUCCUACGGGAGGCAGCAGUGGGGAAUAUUGCACAAUGGGCGGAAGCCUUAUGCAGCGACGCCGCGUGGGGGAUGACGGCCUUCGGGUUGUAAACCUCUUUCGACAGGGACGAAGCUUCGGUGACGGUACCUGUAUAAGAAGCACCGGCUAACUACGUG